rnacentral:rRNA from 1 species
GCCCAGACUCCUACGGGAGGCAGCAGUGGGGGAUAUUGCACAAUGGGGGGAACCCUGAUGCAGCGACGCCGCGUGAACGAGGAAAUAUUUCGGUAUGUAAAGUUCUAUCAGCAGGGAAGAAAAUGACAGUACCUGACCAAGAAGCCCCGGCUAACUACGUGCCAGCAGCCGCGGUAAUACGUAGGGGGCGAGCGUUAUCCGGAUUUACUGGGUGUAAAGGGAGCGUAGACGGUAUGGCAAGUCUGAAGUGAAAGCCCAGGGCUUAACCCUGGGACUGCUUUGGAAACUGUUAGACUAGAGUGCUGGAGAGGUAAGUGGAAUUCCUAGUGUAGCGGUGAAAUGCGUAGAUAUUAGGAGGAACACCAGUGGCGAAGGCGGCUUACUGGACAGUAACUGACGUUGAGGCUCGAAAGCGUGGGGAGCAAACAGGAUUAGAUACCCGCGUA